CCUACGGGUGGCAGCAGUGGGGAAUAUUGGACAAUGGGCGAAAGCCUGAUCCAGCCAUGCCGCGUGUGUGAAGAAGGCCUUCGGGUUGUAAAGCACUUUCAGUGGGGAAGAAAGCCUUGGGGCUAAUACCCUCGAGGAAGGACAUCACCCACAGAAGAAGCAUCGGCUAACUCCGUGCCAGCAGCCGCGGUAAUACGGAGGGUGCGAGCGUUAAUCGGAAUUACUGGGCGUAAAGCGCGCGUAGGCGGUCUGAUAAGCCGGUUGUGAAAGCCCCGGGCUCAACCUGGGAACGGCAUCCGGAACUGUCAGGCUAGAGUGCAGGAGAGGAAGGUAGAAUUCCCGGUGUAGCGGUGAAAUGCGUAGAGAUCGGGAGGAAUACCAGUGGCGAAGGCGGCCUUCUGGACUGACACUGACGCUGAGGUGCGAAAGCGUGGGUAGCAAACAGGAUUAGAUACCCGAGUAGUC
rnacentral:rRNA from 1 species